rnacentral:rRNA from 1 species
CUACGGGGGGCUCCAGUUAGGAAUAAUCUACAAUGCACGCAAGUGUGAUAGUUUGAACCAGAGUGCGUUUCAAUGAAACGCUUUUGCUGAAUGUAAAAAGUUCGGCGAAUAAGGACUGGGUAAGACUAGUGCCAGCCGCCGCGGUAAUACUAGCGGUCCAAGUCGCAGCCAUAUUUAUUGGGUCUAAAACAUCCGUAGCUUGUUUAGUAAGUCUCUUGUGAAAUUUUGUAUCUCAAAUACGAAGCGGGCAAGAGGUACUGCUGAACUAGAGACUGGAAGACGGAAGAAGUACGUUCAGAGUAGCGGUUAAAUGUUUUAAUCCUGAAUGGACUAACAAUAGCGAAGGCAUCUUCCGAGGACAGUUCUGACAGUAAGGGAUGAAGGCUAGGGUCGCAAAAGGGAUUAGAUACCCCCGUAGUC